rnacentral:rRNA from 1 species
CAUGUGACGAGUUUGAUCCUGGCUCAGAACGAACGCUGGCGGCAGGCCUAACACAUGCAAGUCGAGCGAGGUAGCAAUACCUAGCGGCGGACGGGUGAGUAACGCGUGGGAACGUACCCUUUGCUACGGAAUAGCCCCGGGAAACUGGGAGUAAUACCGUAUGUGCCCUUCGGGGGAAAGAUUUAUCGGCAAAGGAUCGGCCCGCGUUGGAUUAGGUAGUUGGUGGGGUAAUGGCCUACCAAGCCGACGAUCCAUAGCUGGUUUGAGAGGAUGAUCAGCCACACUGGGACUGAGACACGGCCCAGACUCCUACGGGAGGCAGCAGUGGGGAAUCUUAGACAAUGGGCGCAAGCCUGAUCUAGCCAUGCCGCGUGAGUGAUGAAGGCCUUAGGGUUGUAAAGCUCUUUCAGAUGGGAAGAUAAUGACGGUACCAUCAGAAGAAGCCCCGGCUAACUCCGUG